rnacentral:rRNA from 1 species
UAGAGCUUGAUCAUGGCUCAGAUUGAACGCUGGCGGCAGGCCUAACACAUGCAAGUCGAGCGGGGUUUUCGGACCUAGCGGCGGACGGGUGAGUAAUGCGUAGGAAGCUGCCCGAUAGAGGGGGAUACCAGUUGGAAACGACUGUUAAUACCGCAUAAUGUCUACGGACCAAAGUGUGGGACCUUCGGGCCACAUGCUAUCGGAUGCGCCUACGUGGGAUUAGCUAGUUGGUGAGGUAAUGGCUCACCAAGGCGACGAUCUCUAGCUGGUUUGAGAGGAUGAUCAGCCACACUGGAACUGAGACACGGUCCAGACUCCUACGGGAGGCAGCAGUGGGGAAUAUUGGACAAUGGGCGCAAGCCUGAUCCAGCCAUGCCGCGUGUGUGAAGAAGGCCUUCGGGUUGUAAAGCACUUUCAGCGAGGAGGAAGGGUGGUGAUGUUAAUAGC